rnacentral:rRNA from 1 species
UGCCCUAGUAACGGCGAGUGAAGCGGCAACAGCUCAAAUUUGAAAUCUGGCCCCUUUGGGGUCCGAGUUGUAAUUUGCAGAGGGUGCUUUGGCGUUGGCGGCGGUCUAAGUUCCUUGGAACAGGACAUCGCAGAGGGUGAGAAUCCCGUAUGUGGUCGCAUGCCUUCGCCGUGUAAAGCCCCUUCGACGAGUCGAGUUGUUUGGGAAUGCAGCUCUAAAUGGGAGGUAAAUUUCUUCUAAAGCUAAAUACCGGCCAGAGACCGAUAGCGCACAAGUAGAGUGAUCGAAAGAUGAAAAGCACUUUGGAAAGAGAGUCAAACAGCACGUGAAAUUGUUGAAAGGGAAGCGCUUGCAGCCAGACUUGCCUGUAGUUGCUCACCCGGGCUCCUGCCCGGGGCACUCUUCUGCAGGCAGGCCAGCAUCAGUUUGGGCGGUCGGAUAAAGGGCUCUGACACGUACUUCCCCUCGGGGUUGACAUACAGGGGAGCCGCAAUGCGACCAGCCCGGACUGAGGUCCGCGCAUCUGCUAGGAUGCUGGCGUAAUGGCUGUAAGCGGCCCGUCUUGAAACACGGACCAAGGAGUCUAACAUCUAUGCGAGUGUUUGGGUGUCAAGCCCGAGCGCGUAAUGAAAGUGAACGGAGGUGGGAGCCCCUCGGGGUGCACCAUCGACCGAUCCUGAUGUCUUCGGAUGGAUUUGAGUAAGAGCAUAGCUGUUGGGACCCGAAAGAUGGUGAACUAUGCUUG